rnacentral:tRNA from 1 species
AGGGAUAUAGCUUAGUGGUAAAGCAUUCGACUGCAGAUCGAGAGGUCCGUGGUUGAACUCCGCUUGUCGCUA